rnacentral:tRNA from 1 species
AAGGGUGUGACGCAACGGUAGCGUAACGGAUUCCAAUCCCGUUUGUUGCAGGUUCGAAUCCUGUCACCCUUG